rnacentral:tRNA from 1 species
GUAGGUAUAGUUCAAUGGUACAGUGCAUGCUUAGCAUGCAUGAGGUCCUGGGUUCAAUUCCCAGUAUGUCCU